GGGCGUAAAGCGCAUGCAGGUGGUUUGUUAAGUCAGAUGUGAAAGCCCGGGGCUCAACCUCGGAAUUGCAUUUGAAACUGGCAAACUAGAGUACUGUAGAGGGGGUAGAAUUUCAGGUGUAGCGGUGAAAUGCGUAGAGAUCUGAAGGAAUACCGGUGGCGAAGGCGGCCCCCUGGACAGAUACUGACACUCAGAUGCGAAAGCGUGGGGAGCAAACAGGAUUAGAUACCCUGGUAG
rnacentral:rRNA from 1 species